UACAGAGGUGGCAAGCGUUGUUCGGAAUUACUGGGCGUAAAGAGCUCGUAGGCGGCCAGUUGCGUCUGCUGUGAAAUCCCGGGGCUCAACCCCGGGCGUGCAGUGGAUACGGGCUGGCUAGAGGCAGGCAGGGGAGAACGGAAUUCCCGGUGUAGCGGUGAAAUGCGCAGAUAUCGGGAGGAACACCGGUGGCGAAGGCGGUUCUCUGGGCCUGUACUGACGCUGAGGAGCGAAAGCGUGGGGAGCGAACAGG
rnacentral:rRNA from 1 species